CGUGGCUCCUAAUUCCGCACUCUGGGAGGAGGCUGAGACAAUAGGAUCUCAAGUUCGACACCAGCCCGAGCAAGUUUAGCGAGACUGUCUCAAAAGAAAAGGCAGCACUCUAGCUGAAGUCCCGGGUUCAAUUCCAGGGGGAAGAGGUUGUCUGUACAAAUUCAACUAACAAUGAGGCUGCGUGUGCCACUGAAAAAAAGAUAAACACGUUAUUUCUUCCUUGAAUACUAAUUUGAUGAUUUGAGAGAAUUAAUCAACUUAUUUAAAAAGUAAUUUAGAUCUGAUUUUUCUAGUAAGCAAGUAUAUGUUCUAUGGUGAAGAAUGAAAAGCUCUUUUCUUAAAAUUUUAUUUGGAAUGUAGUAAAACUACAACAGGACAGAACAAAGCCAAUCAAGACAAUGCAAUGACAUUGGUACAGAACUUCACAGCAGGAUACUGGGAUAGUAUUACUACUAGGUACUAUAGUAUAUCUCAUUAUCUUCACAAUAGUUGUCCAGUCAAUUAGGUAUAGCGAAAUCAAACCAAAAACAGAACAUUGUAAAACCAAUUGGAGAAUAUUGAAUAGAGCAAAACCAUCAUUACAAAACAUAACAGUGAAAAUAACCUUUGCCAUCAUACAGAAGAUAGAAGGAAGUCCCCCCAUAUUUGCUAUAUCACAUAUGGUCAUCUCCCAAGAGAUACUCAGACCUCUGUCCCCAGUUGCUGACGGGGUGGGAGGGAGGGUGUUUGAUUCUCAGCCCACUGGUGGAAACAGCUGACUGUUUCUUCUCCUGGCCUGCACCAGGUGUGCUUACCGAGAGGGUGGGCAAAUUGCCUUCUUGUGCAGCUGCCUAAGUCCCACCACAGUUGGAUCUGAAAAUCUUUUUUUUUUUUCCAAAGAAAGAUGAUUUCAAAGCCAAUCCUAGGCUAACUUCUUUUUCCUCAUUGUUAUGUUACUGUUUUAUGCCAUUGCUGGGGUCACCAAAUUAAGGUAGGAAGUCUAUUUGGACAAGUACAUCAGGCUGCUGGAUACCCUAGGCAUUGUCUCAGAAAACAACUCAGGUGGGCACCAUCCUGUGUAAUUGCAUUCACAUGCACAAGCUAGAAGAUCCUGUGACCACAGCGAAACUAUCCUGCAACACUGCAACCUGGAGGAGAUUUCCAACUAUUAUGGUAUAUCUGGGUUCCAGACCACUGAGCACUUUAUAACCACAGUGGCCCAUUGCUUGAGGAAGAAGAAAACAGGAUUAUACAAUCGGAAGCAGGCAAAGCUAUCCUGGCUCACUGGGUGAGUGAGAAAAUCAGCUUCUAUACAACACCACCACCCAGCCACGCACUUUACCCACCCAUCUUGGUGCUGAAAUUAUUAAAGAGAUGACUAGGACCUCUGUACUGAGAAUACCAGCCAGGUCAAUGAAGAUAGCCACAGUUGAGUAUGAUGAGCUAUUAAGUAACACAGACACACUUGAAAUGGAGAUCAAGUGGCUGCAAGUGAAAACAAUUAUAGAUGUUAUUGAAAAAUAAAUAUGACAGUAUAUCACAGUGGAGACUUGACGGGGUACGGCACCAAUCCAAACCAUCAAGUACAUUGGCUAAAUGCAAUAUGAACCAUCAUUGCCCCAAGAAAUAACAGCAUGGUGGAUGUUAGCCUAGUGGAUAGCUGCUUGGUUCUUCUUUAUUGUUUUUUGGUUUUGGAUUUUUGAGAUGGGGUCUCGCUAUAUAGUUUAACCUGUCCUUGCACUGUCUGUGUAGCACAGGGUGGCCUUGAACUUACAGUAAUUCUGCCUUGGUCUCCCAAGUGAUAAGAUUAUAGAUGUACACCAAAAUGUCUAGCUUUAGCUUCCCAGUUCUGCAGUGGAUUAUAGAGACAGACUCCCUGCAACAGGACCAGGUGCUGGCAUCUUCCCUGAAGAUACAAAUAAAAUUGCCAGUAAGGCUAUCACAUUCCAUACCUGUCCUCAGCUUUUCUGGUAACAGUGAUAAUAGUGAUGAUGACUGAUUUGUUGAUAUCCCUCACUACCACCCCAAGCACUGGUUCCUAGAAUGGGUAAUACAAAUGAAGGAAUUUGAUUCUCCCCAAAACUCAUAUAUAAUAAAAGAAACUCUCAUACAAUUUGUCUCUUCACUGCACUGUUUGGUCCAUUCUGUUCAGUUAAAAAAAAGAGUCAAGAGCUGGAGCUGCAAAGCCCAAUACCCACUAUUUACUCUUCACUGUUUUUUCACAAGAAAAAUAAAACACACUAGAGCCCAAAUUAACAUACAAACAUAAAUAAGAGAUUGCAAACUGGUAAUUUUUUGUUUUAUCAUUCAUACUUUAUAUAGGGGAAUUUGCUUUUUCAGUCUUGCUUUCCAUUCUGUUCUGAGUAUCACUGUGAUUCACUGUUCUUUUAACCCAAAUAUUUUACCCCAUUACCAUUAUUCUUUGUGUUUCGGAUCACCCAAAAUUUGGCCUGUAAGAGACCCUCAAUCUGGCUCCUGUUUGUCAUUUUGCACUUCCUUAGUUUUUGACACAGCUAUCCAGACUUACACUGUACAUUCCAUCUCAGACUUGGAAUUGACCACUGUCUGCAGUGAAUUUUAAGAUGAUCUCAUCAAAUAAAAAUCUUCAACCAGAAACAGUUAAAUAAUUGGUAUUAUACAUGCAAUGAAAUAUUACACAUCCAAUAUACCUGAGAUUAUAAAUUUUGUCAGUUAACUGAUCAAUGUGCUGAGGAUUGAAACUGAUUGACUGCAGUGCCAAAAAUUGAACCCAAGGCCUUGUGUGCUAGACAAGCACUGUGCCACUAAGCUAUCUCCCCUGCCCCAGACUAUAAAUUUUAAGUUAACCAAACUGAAUCUUAAAUUUUACAAUACAACUAAAGAUACUCAUGAAAGGUGACUUCCAGCACUGUUUCAGAUAGUGGCAAGAUAGGUUAAGUGUGUUCAAAGCAUAAGGAAAGACUGUGGGGGCAUUAAUGGGAAAUGUGUAUUUUACUGGAAUAAAUUUUAAAACUUUAUAUAUUUGCUGUAUAUUUUGAUCAUCUCGUGUAUUAAAUCAGUGGUUCCAGUGGGCAUGGUAGUAUAUGCCUGUAAUCCCAACUUUUGAGAGGCUGAGGCAAGAGGAUCACCAGUUUGUGAUCAGCCUAGACAAUUUAAUGAGACCUUGUCUCAAGGAAAACUAAACAGGGCUAAGGUUGUAGAUCAUUACUAGAGAAUGUGCACAAUGUCCUUUCCCAGUUCUGAAAAAAAUCAGUGGUUCCCAAACCAAAUUCAAAGUAUACUUUCACUCAAUCAAUAACUAUAUAUUAUUGGUCUCUCAUACAAUGAGUAACAAAUACAAACAAAACAACCAUAAAUAGAGAAGUGUUUGCUAGUUUCUAGUAAAAUUAUAUAAGUGUCUGUUCUUUCACCUAUCAAUCCCAGUUUAAGGGACCCAAGUAUAUACUUUUCAGAAAGAAGCUGAAGAGAUUUAUUCUGUAAGGCUAUCCGUCCACAAUAGAGCUAUCUAUGAAAGCAAAUGAGUAGAAUUCACAUAGCCACCAGCUUGGGAAUACUGGAAAUCUUUGUAAUGUAUACAUACAAUAGAGUUCUGUGCAACUAUAUGAAUAACAUCUAUAAAUGCCUGUGGCAUCAUAAACAUGACAUACUUAGUAAAAGAGCAAGUUAAAUUGGAUCUAAUAUAUGCUAUCAUGUAUAUAAGAAAAAGAAUGUAUGAAAAUACAAAUAUAUUUGAUUACAUUAAACAAAGGAUAAGUCAUAAAGUUUAUAUAAGAUGUUCUAUGUUGGAGGAGGAAAUAGUACAAAAGGACUAAAAUAGAAUAUUGCUACAAUUAAUAUAUACUGUUAGAAUUAUAGUAAAUCCUAAAAUAUAAAAGGAAUAAGUGAACUUUGUUAGGUAGUAGGUUGUACAAUAAGCAGAGAUAGAAAGUAAUUCAACUACUGUUAAAAUACAAAAAUUUUAUAUGUAUUGCUAAAGUUAACAAAAUUACUGAAAAAAAACCAGAGAAAGUGAAAAGCAUUGUAAGAAUAUCUAACCAGUAUUAUUUGAAACUGUAAAAGUCAUACAAAAAUUAAGUUAUCACAGGCCAGAAAACAUCAAAGCUGUGACAACUAAAAACAGUAGCAUCUUGGAAUUGAUGCUCUAAAAGAAAAAGUUCAUUAACAGGAUGAAACUCAAAAUAUAUUUUGCGAUUUAGUUAAUAAUGUGUCAGUGUUGGUUAUUUUGAUGAAUACCAACACAAAAAAUGUAGGAGACUAUAAUUUUAAUUAAAAUAUAUUUUGCAGUUUAAUUAAUAAUGUGCCAAUUUUGGUUGUUUUGAUGAAUACCACAAAAAUGUAGGGAACUCUACAGUUUUUGAAACAUUUUUAUAAAUGUAGUAAUUCCAAAACUUAAAGUUUAUUAUAAAGAGAAUAAAAAUUAUACCCAUUAAAAUAAUGAAGAAAGUUGAAAACACAGUCAUACUAUUUCCAUUGAAUAUUUUAUGAAAGCUAAAGCCACUGUAGAGACUAGAAAAAAAAAUGUUACAAAAAUACAAAAGCAAGACAUAAACUAAAAGUAUUUUCAAGUUUUUAUUGCCUAAAUAGAAACAACCACAUUAUUUGAAUGAUUAAUUACAUUGGCAAACAUGAACACAUAUAAUACUAAGAGAAAGUCAGUCUCUACGUAUUUUUCAUUUGUGUCAUAUAUAUGCAAUGAAUGUACAAUCUUGUUAAUAAAUGUGUAAAAAGAAAACUAAGACAAUACCAAAGAAUGGAUACAUAACAAUAUCCCAUGUAGAAGAGAGGAGAACUGAGAAUACAGUUGUGAAAAUGAUUUACUUCUGAGCCAAUAAACAUAGGGUAAACUAAUCAAAAAAGUUAAUUUCUUUUUGUAAUUCUAAUGAAAACAUUCAAAAUGUUUAUAUCCUCUUGAUUUAACUUAGAACAGAAAUGUAGUUUAGUAACUAAGAGUACAUACAAGUUGAAAAUUUAUCUUUCAACAUUUAGUGUUAUGGAAUUUGGAUAAGCUAUGUUAAGUCCUUGUCAUUAAAUUUCCUCUUUGUAAAUGGGAAAAAAUAGUAAUCUUUAAAAAUAAAAAUCCAAUCCAGGAAUCAUUAUGGUGGUACAUAGAGGAAACGCUGAUGUUUUUCACUGUAAAAUUUUCAGUGAUACUUCAAUUUAAUAUAUGAUAAAAAUGAACUUAUCUUGUAUAAAUAAAACCUGAAUAUAACUUAAAACUUCAGCUUUUGCUUCAUUUAUAUGAUAUACUUUAUUCCCUGUUUUGGUAAUGUCCUUAAUAAACAGGAUUCCUAAAGAAGCAUGCAUAUGAUACAGAUACAACUGACUUAAAUUUUCUUUAAAGCAUUUAAGAUUAGUCUGAAUUCUAACAUUAUGGGUCUCCAUAAUGUAUACCUUAGCCUAAACUUACUUGUAACCAUUCAUCAUCAAAUGUAAACUUUCAACUUUCCUGAGUGACAGAAAAACUAAUAAAAAGAUGGUGACAGAUUCGCAGAGAGGGUCCCAUUAACUGAAGUCUGAGACCUACUAGCAUACUUUCCAUCUUCCCUUACGAGGAAAUCUUCCUUUGUGGAGAGGAUCAUCAUGUUAUGGUUUGAUAGGACUUUAACAUGUCUACGUGAGUUUCGUGUACUAGAAGCUUGGUCUCCAAUUUUAAUGGUCUCAAUUUUUAAUGAUUAUAGAGGCAAUAGAAGCUUUAACAGUGGGGGUCAAAGGAAGCUAGACAAUGGGAAUAAUAACCUCAUCAACUGAUUAAUGCUGUCUCAAGAGUUUUAGCUCAUGGGAAUAAAUUAGUAUCACAAGAAUGAGCAGUUAUAAAAAUACCAAGCGUGGCCCCUGAAUCCUUCUAGCUUCCUGUCUCACUGUGUUACUUGUCCUCCUUGCUUAUAUUCUCAUGAUGCCAUCCUCCAUGCUAUGACUCAGCUGUAGAACCAUCACCAGAAGCUACCUAAUUGUGGACUUUCUUGCCUCCUGUGAGCAAAAUAAAAUCUCAAUCUUGAUCUUUCUCUGUCUCUUCCUGUCUCUCUUUCUCAUCUUACCUUUCUCCUUCCAUCUCUCCCUUUCUUUCUCCUUCUUGAAUGUAGGGCCUUUCCACUGAGCUAUAUCCUCAGGCCUUUUUGUUCUGUUUUGAGACACAACACUAUGUACUUUAGGUUGGCUUUGAGUUGUCUAUAUAGCCCAGCCUGGCUCAAAUCCAUAGUGAUUCUCCAACCUCAGUCUUCCAAGUGGUUUGUUUUUUUGGUACUAGAAAUUGAACUCAGGACCUUGUGCUUGACAGCAGGCACUGUACUACUGAGUUAUAUCCCCAGCCCUCUUCCAAGUGUUGAGAUUACAAGUAUGCACCACCACACUUAGAUCCAGCUCUUUUUUAUUUUAAUAGAGUCAUUGUCCAGUCUGGGUUCAAACUUGUUAUCCUCCUGCCUCAGCCUCUUAGAGUGCUGAGAUUAUAGGAGUAUACCAUUAUACUCAUCAUAAACCUUUUCUUUUCAUACUGUUAUCUUGUUAUAGCAACAGAAAAUAGAAUAUAAAGUUUUUAGUAUUCAUCUUUAUCAUCACUUUUCAGGCAGGUUGUCUUAGUCACUUUCCUUGUUGCUGAGACAAAAUAUCUGACAUCCAAAGUUAAGGGAUAAAAGGUUUAUUUCACUUGCAAUUUGAAGGGGUUUUUUUUUUUUUUUUUGUCUUUUUCCUUUUUAUCGGUACCGGGAAAUAAACUCACGACUGCCUGCUUCCAAGGCAGGCACUUUUGCCGCUGAGCUAAAUCCCCAGCCCCCUUCACUUGCAAUUUGUAGAGGUUUCAGCUCAUAGUUGGAUGACUCCCAGGCAGAGUAGCAUGGCAGAGGGAGAUCACAGAGGUGAAAUAGUUCAUGGCAGGCAGAAAGCAGAAGACAGCAAGUCAGGUAGCUACAAGCAAUGAGUGACAAGCGACAACUACAACAGCUCUUUCUGUCCCUUACGUCUUAUCCAGGUUAGGGUAAGUAGCACACCCUUAACCCUAACAUUGCAAGGUGAAUGAAUACCAGCCUCACAUUUUUUAGCCCAGCUUUGCACACCCUUAUCCAGCCACCUCUGAAAAUCUUCACUUAUGACCACAUGAGGCUUUAGGGGGACAUCCAGACACAAGCCCUAACUCAGUACGGGGGGUCCUGUUAGAAUUUUGCUUGCACGUGAAGCAACAAGGAAAACAGAAAGAAUAUAUAAACACUUUCUUGGAAUCAGAAGUGCAACUGGUGCAGUUCUUGAUGUGCUUGGGGAAGGACUAUGAGAGGAUGGAAAAAAUAAAGAUGAAAGCUGAAGUCAGGUGGAGCCCUGUCUCCUGAUGGGAGGAAGGGAACUGCACUCUCCCUGUAGGGGCAUUUAUUCAUACAUUUAGCAACUUAAUGUCACAUGACAUUAUCUGCAAGAAUGGCAACUAAUGACCUGAUGUUUGGGGCCCUGGAAUCACUUGUUUUUGCAGCUCGCUUGGGACUGUCCUUGUUUUCAGACCUGGCUGGCCAGCCCCUGCACAUGUGGUCAAAUUCCAGCUUCAGCAUCUCCCAAAACAGAAGGAAGAUUAGAAGGCAGUUAAAAUGCAGAGCCCAGGGAAACAAUGAAAAUGGACAGAAAUGGUUAGGAGGCUCUGGAUGGGAUAGUCCUAUCCAGGAAUGGUCACAAUAAUGAAAGCAGAUGCUCACAUGGCCGAUGGAAAGCAUAAAUCUCCAUAACUGAGCCAUGGGGUUUUGUCUAGCAAUAGACAUCCAGUCUCCUUGGGAGUCAGACAGACAGAGUCAAGGCAAGGCUAAUCCAUCAUGCUAACCUAGUUGCUGUAAAUAGCUGAUUCAAAUUGCCCCACUUUGCCCUGCUUCUAAUUUGGCCACUUAGCUAUCCUUAAGGUCUCCCCCUCACACUGACUGGGGUAUGCUGGAGAAUGCACAGAUUUCCCCCUCUUUCACUUAGCCUGAACUGUUAUUCUAUAGCUGUUGCAGAUUCAGCUGUGCAGCUGGACCUGCUUGUACAUAAAGAACCAGAAGCUCCCUCCUUUGCUGCUCCUCCAUUCUCUUGAACUGCCCAAAGUUUUUCCAGGAAAUGAUAAAUUAAAAAAGAACAAAAUGAUCCAUUGUGAUAAGAGAAAGUCUCUUAAGCUUAUCUCCUAGCUUCCAAGUUACUUCUCUAUGGUAUUUUGAAUGUGUUUUUCCCCAGAAAAGAACUCUGUCCUCCAUACUGCAUUUCCCUGAGCUAAAACUCAAGCAGAGAAACUCUGGUACAUCCAGUUACAAUCUUGCCCUCAAUCUCAUCCUUAUACAAUAGAAUAAUUCCCUAUUCCAAUGUUUUUAAGAUAACUCUGUGAAAGAAAUAUACAAUAAUGAAAGGCAUACUAUAUUAUCAAAAGAUAAGGGUUCUCAAUAAAUUACUAGGAAAAUAUCAAUAAAUUAUUAGGUUGGUCAGAAAAGUAUAAGAAUUAGCAAUGUACUUGCUGUAAAAUGGGAGGUAAUUUACAAAUAAAGUUAUAAAAAAAUCUAGACUUUCCUUCUUUUGGGAGAUUUUAAGAGUGGCCUUCAUAAAACAUUAUGGAGUUUAUUUCAGCUAUUAUUAAAUGAUACAAAAAUAUGAAUUUUAACAGGUCAAAUCAUUUAUCAAAACUUAGCACACUACACUUAGCACACUACACACUGCUGUGGGUGCAGAAAAAUAUUCUAACACAUAAGACUGCAACUGAAAAGACAGAGAUUAACUGGUAGCACAGAUACCUAACAAAACAGAAUACAGGUAUUCCUCGUUCAAUGACUGCGUUCUGUUCUGUGACUAGGUUGUUAAACAAAUGGAUCACUAAAUGGUAUGCGCAGUAUGCAGAACAAAGAAAUGCUUCAAAGGAAACUCAACCUGAUGGAUUCAAUAAAUUUUAUAUGCCUUACUCCUUACAUGUAGUACUGCAAUGUAUAAUAGAACAUAAAAUUACUCUAUAUUACAAUUAACAAAAAUUACAACAGUAUAAAUAAACUGUAUUGUACAAAAAUGAUAUGGAGGCUUUAUCAACAAGGUGUAUAGAACUGUACACACACACACACACACACACACACACACACACACACACACACAAAUGGGCUGAAAGUUUGAGCAGCAGAUCCUAAGUCAGAACAGCAUGCCUCAGUCUACAGAUCAAAUAGUUGUAAAACAGGCAGGUUGUUAAACAAGGAAUAUUUGUAAUAAACAAUGAUUACUGGAACAGAAUAAUUUAUAAUGCCUCAAAAUAUAUUCUUUGUAAUGAGAUAAUACUGUAUACAGUAUUUCUGUUGAAGCAAGGUAUCAUAAAGAUGACACAGAAAAACAUACAGAAAUUUUGAUGAUGCAUGAUACAGAGGAGGAAAAAGUAGCAUAAUGGUUACUGAAACAUGCUAAAGUAGUCCAUCUUGUCCCAGAAUUCUGAGAAAAAAAUGCAUGACAAUGACAAGAAAAACAAAAAAGCAUCCUGAUAUCUAAAAUAUGUCUAAAACAUAUUCUAACAUGAAGAACAGAUGGAGAAGAGAAAGAUAACCCUUUCAUAAGAGUAGAAGAAAAAUAGUUUUUAAAAAGGCAGUCUUCCAGGGUGUGGUGGUGCGUUACUGUAAUUCAGCACUCUGAGAGGCUGAGGCAGGUGGACUCCAAAUUUGAGCCCAUCCUGGAUAAUCUGAGUUAGUGAGACCCAAAAGAAAUAAAAGGGAGACAACUCAGUGUGAAAGCACUAGUGGAAUCUCUAGUACUGGAAUCAGCCGAUCAAUUAAUCAGUCAGCCAAUCAUUGUCUUGAGUCUUUGGCAUAUUAAAGUAUCUGUAAGUUAUGAUUAUACAUUUCUUAGGGAAAUUUCUUAACUACAUACCCACAAAGAGAACAGCUUUAAAAUUUUUAUAUCUGGGAACAUAUAAUACAACAACAAAACUCAAAGUACUCAAAGUAGAACUUCUGUUAUCUUGUAUCAGAUCCUCAAAGUAGCAAGUUACAUUUCUCAAACCAAUGUUUCCACAUAAAACAAUUUUAAGUGUGUAUUGAUAACUUCUUUAAAGCUUUAUCAGCGCUAAGGAAAUACCAAUUCUGACAAUUUUUGGCAUUUAUCAUAAUAGUAUCUGAGGAAGAUAGAACUGAAAGGAUUGGCUGCUAGAUUCAACGUGUAAUGAGACAGAGUAGGGAGCACAAUCAUGGAUUAUUACACAGUUCUCUUGCCUGAACAAAUGGAAAGAUGGAGUUGUUACAUACAGAAAUAAGAGUACUGGAAAGGAGCAAUUUGUCUAGAAAAGUAGAGAUAUAAAGUAUGCAGUGGGCAUAUAAAUUUGAAUAUUCAAAAGAGAACUUUAAGAAGGAAGUUGAAAAUAAGUGGGAAAUAGCUAGUUAUUUUCGUGGACUUCAGACUGUAGAGAAGAAGAAUCUCAGGAAUUUGCUAUGAUAGAUACUGAAAAUGAAUGAAUAAAUAUUUUUAAUUAGAGUCCUGUGUUGAGGAAUUAACUGUGAGUACAGGACAUUGUAGAAUAGAUGUCACCAGCACAGAGUAAGGUUGUUUGCUCACAAGGGUUCACAAUAUCUUGUGGAGGUGACACAGAAAGUGUUGGUAAAAGAAACAUUUUUCCAGGAACAUGGAUACUCUAGUAAAUGUAUUAUUGAACUUUUGAUGAAGAAUGAUUUUUACUGUAGUUCCAUUUGCAUUCUUAUGCUGUAAAACUGAUCACUUAUAAGGAAUAUAGCUGGGUGGCACUCUGUAAUCCCAGAACUCUAGAAGGUUGAGGCAUGAGGAUUUGAAAUUUAAGAUCAGUCUAGGCAAUUCAGCAAUUUAGUAAGACCCUGUCUCAAACUAAAAAUAAAAAGGUCUGGGGAUGUAACUCAGUGUGAAGGCCCUGAGUUCAAUUCCUAGUACUGAUUCCUUCAAAAAAAACCCCACAGAAGUAUGUGUAUAAAUUCUUCCAUUUCUCUAUCAAAUUAUUGGUCAUUUUAGCUACUAAUUUUUAAUAUAUGAAAGUAAGUGCUUUUUAUGUGUUAUGUCAAUAAUGUUUACUAGUUUAAACUUUCUAAGAUAUUUCUUAACCAGAAAGCUUUAUCAUUUAGUAAACAUUACCAUUUUCCUGUAUAUAUGUCUAUGAUUUUUCUCAUUCUAUUAAUUUUAUGCAUAUUUGGAUUUAUCAGAGAACUUAAACUGUACCUCAGAGAAAUUUAUGAUCACUCAAGGGUUCCUCUGUUAUUAGGACUAGAGUUUGGUACAUCCAACAAGAAUAAUUGUGCAAUUAGUAAAAUCCUAAAGAACAGAAUAAUUCUGAAUCUAGGAUCUGAGUAUUAAUUCAGCAUAUGAAGAAGAUGAUGUGGUGACUUUAAGUCAACUAAAUAUAAAAACAUAAUACAAAAAGUAAUUAAACAUAAAAAAUCCCCUUAUUAAUAGGUGACAUGGAAAGAUAAGUAGUUGCAUAUUCUUCAGAAUAAAAUAACCAAAGAAUAUAUAUUACAAUAACAGGCCUAACAGAGAGAAUAUGUGAUGUGUACAUCACAUACAUAACAUCACAUACAUCAUGUACAAAAAGCCAACUUGUAUUUGGCCACAAAAAUAUAGUAAUAUUUUAACUUUCUAAUGAUGUUUUCACAGAAAAAACAUACAUUAUAAUUCCAUACAUUAAACCUUGAGAGAAAAUUUUGAAAAUUUGAAAACACACAACUAGUCAAUCAAAAAGAAUUCAAAAUUAAAACAAAAAUAUCUAGAUGCCAAUUUUAAAGAUCUAUAGGCCAUAGAGCAAUAUUCAAAGGGAGUAUUGCAGCCUUAAUGUUUCCAAUUGAAGAGAGACAGAAAACACUGUACUUAAGUACCCACAUUCCAUUAAGAAAACAGCACUUGGGAGGCUGUGGCAACAGGGUCACCAUGAAUUCAGGGUUAGCAUGGGCCACAAAGUGAAAUCCUAUCUCAAAACAAACAAACAUAGGGAAAAAAAGCACGCACAGUGACAUAUGUGUGUAAUGCCAGCUACUUGGGAGGCUGGAGCAGAGGAAUCAUAUGGACUGCAAGAGUAAGCACAAAAUGGGCAAUUCAGACUUACUGAGAACCUGUUUUAAGGGGCAAGGGGGCUGGAGGUGUAGCUCAGUUCAAAGGCCUUGGAUUCAGUCCCCAGUAACACAAAACAACAGGAAAAAAUACAUAAAAAGUAAAGACAAGGAGGUAAUACUGAAUUAAUACUGAAAAAAUAUUAAAAAGUUAAUACUUGUUAGCUAUAAAAAAGCAAAUAAAGUCAGGCAUGGUGGUGCAUAUCUGUAAUCUCUGCACUCAAAAUGAUGAGGAAGGAGGAUGGCUGGGAGUUAUAGGCCAUUCUGGGCUACAUAGUGAGUUCAAGGCCAGCCUACACUACAAAGCAAGAACUUGUCUCAAAAAAAAAAAAACCAAUAAUUGAAAUAGAAAUAUAGUCAAAGGAAACAACAGCUUGGUUGACACAGCAAUAUAUAAAAAGUAUCUUCUACAAAUAAAUUUAGAGAAAUCAAUGGCUUAAAAACAAACAAACCAUGAGGAGAUAGAUACUGAAAACUGAAAACAAAUUACUUGCUUUAAACAGCAACCAAUUUGAAAAUAUAAAGAAAACAUAAAAAUGCCAUAUUUCAUUCAUUCUAAAAUGUAUUUUUUACUCCACACUUUAAUAUCUCUUAAGUUGAGAGUAAAUUUAUAUUCAGUUAUCUACUAAACAUUUGUUGGGAGCCGCGGCCGAGCCCGGUCGCCUUACUUGGCGGACGUGAGGCCUGUAGGAAAGAGCAAAGCCUGAGCUAGAUUACCCCUCCCAUCGAGUGUGCUAAGAUGGCGCUUAUCUCCUGCUUCCUGCUUGGUAAACAACCCGCCCUGUAAGAUCUCCUGCUUCCUGCUUGGUAAACAACCCGCCCUGUAAGAUCUCCUGCUUCACAACCCGCCCUGUAAGAUAGUCUGCCUAGCAACAACUGAUGUUAGCCAAUCAGCCCGCAUCGCGCGCUUUGAACUGAUUGGCCACUGUAACCCUAUAAAAGUGAGUGCCUCUCCCGCCACAAAAAAAGAAGCAGAAGAAGCACGCAAGGAGCCGCGGAGAGCGGACCGGUAGAGGCUUCGGGACAGACUGUAGGAAGAAGCACGCAAGGAGCCGCGGAGAGCGGACCAGUAGAGGCUUCGGGACAGACUGUAGGGAGAAGCACGCAAGGAGCUGCGGGGAGCGGACCAACAGAGGCUUCGGCCGGGAGGAUUCCCGGGGCAGGCUGUACGGAGAA